rnacentral:misc_RNA from 1 species
UUUCCGUAGGUGAACCUGCGGAAGGAUCAUUAUUGUAUUACAGAGCUGCGAGGGCUGUCGCUGCCCCGACAGCUCGGGCACGCCCGAGUGCCCUCACACACAUCCAUCUCACCCUUCUGUGCACCCCCGCGUGGAUCAGACCUCGGCUCGUUCGCAGGGGGGCUUACGUUUUCUAACAAACUUUGUAUGCCGUGUAGAAAGUAUUUUUUGUUUUUGCGUCUACGCUAUCUAUAUAACUUACAACAUCGGAUCUCUUGGCUCCCGAACCGAUGUAGAACA